UUUUGAAUUUUUGGUUACUCUUGUAUUUUUUUGAUUCUUCUAUUGUCUUUCUUGUAUUGUUGUAGACUUCUUUGCUUGUUUUCUUGGAGUUGGAGCUGGAAAGAUUUUGGGGUCAUAAUAGAGAGAGCAUGGCAUGAGGUAAGUUCUCAAUUGUUCUUUUAAUUUAGCUUCUAAUUUAAAAUAUUUCUAUUUUAGGUGGUAGUUCAGGAAGGAGCACGAUAAGAUUUGCUAUUCCUAAGUAUACUCUAAACUACUUUUAUUUUUUUGUAGUAUAAUUGGAUAAUAUCCAUUACACAAUCCACGAAUUUUUCCACUCGACUUCUUUUUGUGAAGGAAACAUGGUGUAUUAUUGAUAGGUGCUAUUUUAAUUUAUAAUUUUUUUGUAGACAGUGAAGUCGGAUUAAUAGCAAGCAUGACUUUCUUUUGUUGUUGAGCUUAUACUUGUGGGACGUCAUGACCCCCAUGAUGCA
rnacentral:lncRNA from 1 species